UACGAAGGGGGCUAGCGUUGCUCGGAAUCACUGGGCGUAAAGGGUGCGUAGGCGGGUCUUUAAGUCAGGGGUGAAAUCCUGGAGCUCAACUCCAGAACUGCCUUUGAUACUGAAGAUCUUGAGUUCGGGAGAGGUGAGUGGAACUGCGAGUGUAGAGGUGAAAUUCGUAGAUAUUCGCAAGAACACCAGUGGCGAAGGCGGACUCACUGGCCCGAGUACUGACGCUGAUGCACGAAAGCGUGGGGAGCAAACAGG
rnacentral:rRNA from 1 species